rnacentral:rRNA from 1 species
GGCCAGACUCCUACGGGAGGCAGCAGUGAGGAAUAUUGGUCAAUGGGCGGAAGCCUGAACCAGCCAAGUCGCGUGAGGGAAGAAGGCCCUGCGGGUCGCAGACCUCUUUGGACGGGGAGCAAGGCCGCCGACGUGUCGGCGGAAGGAGAGUACCCGUAGAACAAGCAUCGGCUAACUCCGUGCCAGCAGCCGCGGUAAUACGGAGGAUGCGAGCGUUAUCCGGAUUUAUUGGGUUUAAAGGGUGCGUAGGCGGGACCUUAAGUCAGCGGUAAAAUUGCGGUGCUCAACGCCGUAGAGCCGUUGAAACUGGGGUUCUUGAGUGAGCGAGAAGUAUGCGGAAUGCGUGGUGUAGCGGUGAAAUGCAUAGAUAUCACGCAGGACCCCGAUUGCGAAGGCAGCAUACCGGCGCUCAACUGACGCUGAGGCACGAAAGUGCGGGUAUCGAACAGGAUUAGAUACCCUUGUAAAG